AUUAAACGCUGGCGGCAUGCCUUACACAUGCAAGUCGAACGGCAGCACGGGGGCAACCCUGGUGGCGAGUGGCGGACGGGUGAGUAAAGCAUCGGAACGUAUCCUGGAGUGGGGGAUAACGUAGCGAAAGUUACGCUAAUACCGUAUGAGCCCCGAGAGGGGGAAAGAUUUAUCGCCUUGGGAGCGGCCCGCGUCGGAUUAGCUAGUUGGUGGGGUAACGGCCUACCAAGGCUUCGAUCCGUAGCUGGUCUGAGAGGACGAUCAGCCACACUGGGACUGAGACACGGCCCAGACUCCUACGGGAGGCAGCAGUGGGGAAUCUUGCGCAAUGGGGGGCAACCCUGACGCAGCCAUGCCGCGUGAACGAUGAAGGCCUUAGGGUUGUAAAGUUCUUUUACCCGUGACGAUGAUGACGGUAACGGGGGAAUAAGGCUCCGGCUAACUUCGUGCCAGCAGCCGCGGU
rnacentral:rRNA from 1 species